GACGAACGCUGGCGGCGUGCUUAACACAUGCAAGUCGAACGGAAAGGCCCUGCUUUUGUGGGGUGCUCGAGUGGCGAACGGGGGAGUAACACGUGAGUAACCUGCCCUUGACUUUGGGAUAACUUCAGGAAACUGGGGCUAAUACCGGAUAGGAGCUCCUGUUGCAUGGAGGGGGGUGGAAAGUCUCGGCGGUUGUGGAUGGACUAGCGGCUUAUCGGCUUGUUGGUGGGGGAGUCGCUGACCAAGGCUUGGGCUGGUAGCCGGCCGGGGAGGGUGACCGGGGACAUUGGGACUGCGGUACGCCCCAGACUCCUACAUGGGACAGCAGUGGGGAAUAUUGCCCAAUGGGCGGACGCCUGAUGCAGCAACGCCGCGUUCGUGAUGACGGCCUUCGGGUUGUAAACCGCUUUCGCCUAUGACGAAGCGUUAGUGACGGUACUGGGUAAAUAAGCACCGGCUAACUACGUG
rnacentral:rRNA from 1 species